rnacentral:rRNA from 1 species
GACGAACGCUGGCGGCGUGCUUAACACAUGCAAGUCGAACGGAAAGGCCCUGCUUUUGUGGGGUGCUCGAGUGGCGAACGGGUGAGUAACACGUGAGUAACCUGCCCUUGACUUUGGGAUAACUUCAGGAAACUGGGGCUAAUACCGGAUAGGAGCUCCUGCUGCAUGGUGGGGGUUGGAAAGUUUCGGCGGUUGGGGAUGGACUCGCGGCUUAUCAGCUUGUUGGGGGGGUAGUGGCUUACCAAGGCUUUGACGGGUAGCCGGCCUGAGAGGGUGACCGGCCACAUUGGGACUGAGAUACGGCGCAGACUCGUACGGGAGGCAGCAGUGGAGAAUAUUGCAGAAUGGGCGGGAGCCUGAGGCAGCAACGCCGGGUGCGGGAUGACGGCCUUCGGGUUGUAAACCGCUUUCGACUGUGACGAAGAGUGAGUGACGGUAAUGGGUAAAGAAGCACCGGCUAACUACGUG